CGAUUGGCUGAAAGGAAGGGGCGUGGAGAGCGCGCGCCAAAGCGCAGGAGGCGGGGCCAGUGGAAGGGGCGGGGCUGAAGGCGGAGUGUGAGACAGGUGGAGAAGUGAUGGUAAAUUUCCACUCGAACUGUUGGGGAGCUAGUUACUGGUAGAGCGGCCCCAAGGCCGGGCUUCGGUGGCUGCAGUAGACUGGAUCUGGAUCUCUAAAUAGCAAUCUAUUGACAUGGCUGCCAGCGUAAUGGAACCCCUGAUUGAUACACGGACCCAUGACUGUCCACAAGAAAGACUACAUUUCCCAACUCCCAUGCAUCAAGGUAUGGAUCCCAGCUUUUCAAAGUCUGAAGCUUAUACAAUUUGAAGAAGCCUUUUCCUGAAAGGAAAAGAAAAAGACUACAAGAUGACGAAUACAAAAUCAGGAGCC